AUUGAACGCUGGCGGCAGGCCUAACACAUGCAAGUCGAGCGGUAGAGAGGUGCUUGCACCUCUUGAGAGCGGCGGACGGGUGAGUAAUGCCUAGGAAUCUGCCUGGUAGUGGGGGAUAACGCUCGGAAACGGACGCUAAUACCGCAUACGUCCUACGGGAGAAAGCAGGGGACCUUCGGGCCUUGCGCUAUCAGAUGAGCCCAGGUCGGAUUAGCUAGUUGGUGAGGUAAUGGCACACCAAGGCGACGAACCGUAACUGGUCUGAGAGGAUGAUCAGUCACACUGGAACUGAGACACGGGCCAGACUCCUACGGGAGGCAGCGGUGGGGAAUAUUGGACAAUGGGCGAAAGCGUGAUCCAGCCAUGCCGCGUGUGUGAAGAAGGUCUUCGGAUUGUAAAGCACUUUAAGUUGGGAGGAAGGGUCGUUACCUAAUACGUGACGAUUUUGACGUUACCGACAGAAUAAGCACCGGCUAACUCUGUGCCAGCCGCCGCCGUAACAC
rnacentral:rRNA from 1 species